GCAGGUAUCGGUACGCCCACUGACUUGUAAUCAGUAGGUCCCGGGUUCAAUUCCUGGUGCCGGCACCA
rnacentral:tRNA from 1 species